rnacentral:rRNA from 1 species
GAUGAACGCUGGCGGCGUGCCUAAUACAUGCAAGUCGAGCGAACAGACGAGGAGUUUGCUCCUCAGACGUUAGCGGCGGAAGGGUGAGUAACACGUGGAUAACCUACCUAUCAGACUGGGAUAACUUCGGGAAACCGGAGCUAAUACCGGAUAAUAUAUUGAACCGCAUGGUUCAAUAGUGAAAGACGGUUUUGCUGUCACUUAUAGAUCGAUCCGCGCGGGAUUAGCUAGUUGGUAUGGUAACGGCUUACCAAGGCAACGAUGCGUAGCCGACCUGAGAGGGUGAUCGGCCACACGGGAACUGAGACACGGUCCAGGCUCCUACGGCAGGCAGCAGUAGGGAAUCUUCCGCAAUGGGCGAAAGCCUGACGGAGCAACGCCGCGUGAGUGAUGAAGGUCUUCGGAUCGUAAAACUCUGUUAUUAGGGAAGAACAAAUGUGUAAGUAACUAUGCACGUCUUGACGGUACCUAAUCAGAAAGCCACGGCUAACUACGUG